CAGUAGCCACGGUAAUACGUAGGUGGCAAGCGUUGUCCGGAAUUAUUGGGCGUAAAGGGCUCGCAGGCGGUUUCUUAAGUCUGAUGUGAAAGCCCCCGGCUCAGCCGGGGAGGGUCAUUGGAAACUGGGAAACUUGAGUGCAGAAGAGGAGAGUGGAAUUCCACGUGUAGCGGUGAAAUGCGUAGAGAUGUGGAGGAACACCAGUGGCGAAGGCGACUCUCUGGUCUGUAACUGGCGCUGAGGAGCGAAAGCGUGGGGAGCGAACAGGAUUAGAUACCCCGGUAGUCCCUGUCUCUUAUAC
rnacentral:rRNA from 1 species